rnacentral:rRNA from 1 species
GACGAACGCUGGCGGCGUGCCUAAUACAUGCAAGUCGAACGAAGCUGUUUUAACUGGUGCUUGCACCGACUUAAACAACUGAGUGGCGAACGGGUGAGUAACACGUGGGUAACCUGCCCCAAAGCGGGGGAUAACAUUUGGAAACAGAUGCUAAUACCGCAUAAUCACAGAAACCACAUGGUUUCUGUGUCAAAGAUGGUUUCGGCUAUCACUUUGGGAUGGACCCGCGGCGUAUUAGCUAGUUGGUAAGGUAAUGGCUUACCAAGGCAAUGAUACGUAGCCGAACUGGGAGGUUGAUCGGCCACAUUGGGACUGAGACACGGCCCAAACUCCUACGGGAGGCAGCAGUAGGGAAUCUUCCACAAUGGACGAAAGUCUGAUGGAGCAACGCCGCCUGAGUGAAGAAGGUUUUCGGAUCGUAAAACUCUGUUGUCAGAGAAGAACGGGUGCGAGAGUAACUGCUCGUGCAGUGACGGUAUCUGGCCAGAAAGCCACGGCUAACUACGUGCCAGCAGCCGCCGUAA